rnacentral:tRNA from 1 species
GGCUGUAGCUCAGUGGUGGAGCACUUGCCUGGCACGUGUGAAGUACUAGGUUCGAUCCUUAGCACCA